rnacentral:rRNA from 1 species
CCUACGGGGCGCAGCAGUGGGGAAUAUUGCACAAUGGGGGAAACCCUGAUGCAGCGACGCCGCGUGAGUGAUGAAGUAUUUCGGUAUGUAAAGCUCUAUCAGCAGGGAAGAUAAUGACGGUACCUGACUAAGAAGCUCCGGCUAAAUACGUGCCAGCAGCCGCGGUAAUACGUAUGGAGCAAGCGUUAUCCGGAUUUAUUGGGUUUAAAGGGUGCGCAGGCGGUCUGUUAAGUCAGCGGUCAAAGCCCGGGGCUCAACCCCGGCCCGCCGUUGAAACUGGCAGUCUCGAGUUGGAGAGAAGUAAG